GGGGGCUAGGUGGUGAGAAAUUUCCAGCACUGCCUUCCAGGGGAGGACUCUCCCAGCCCGCCCUUGCCCUGCCUGUCUCUCCUCCCCGCACCUCUGCUCAGACCUUCCUCGGGACCACACAGCCCUGCUGCGCUCAGAACCCUGGCCUCAUGGUUCCAAGUGCCCAGCUGGGAUGCAAAGCUUGGACUCAGUGACACUGCUUGUAGCAGCACUUUCUCAACCAGGACGGUGGAGAGAAGGACAAGGAGAAGAGAAUGCGGACUUGGAGGGCUGACCGGUUUGAUCACAUUCCCUGGGACAUGGACCGGCUGUGAUGUCUAGUCUGGGGCCCCCUGCGGCAUGCAGGUCUUUCUCUUCCCCGGAGCCUG